rnacentral:snRNA from 1 species
AUAAUGCCUGGUAGAGGAGAGACCAUGAUCAGGCAGGGGGUUUUCCCAGGUGAGGCUUAUUCAUUGCACUUGGGGUUUGUUGGCCCGUGAGAUUUCCCCAGAUGUGGGAAACUCGACUGCAUAAUUUGUGUUUGGGGGGACCCCUU